rnacentral:misc_RNA from 1 species
UGUGGGAGCGAGCCUGCUCGCGAUGGCGGUGUGUCAGUCACUAUGAACUCAGCUGAUCCGGCGCUAUCGCGAGCAGGCUCGCUCCCACA